ACGCUCGACACCUACGGAGCAGCAGUGGGGAAUAUUGCACAAUGGAGGAAACUCUGAUGCAGCGAUGCCGCGUGAGGGAAGAAGGUUUUCGGAUUGUAAACCUCUGUCUUUGGGGACGAUAAUGACGGUACCCAAGGAGGAAGCUCCGGCUAACUACGUACCAGCAGCCGCGGUAAUCUGAGCGGGCUGGCAAGGC
rnacentral:rRNA from 1 species